rnacentral:rRNA from 1 species
AUUGAACGCUGGCGGCAUGCUUUACACAUGCAAGUCGAACGGCAGCGCGGGCUUCGGCCUGGCGGCUAGUGGCGAACGGGUGAGUAAUGCAUCGGAACGUGCCCAGUAGUGGGGGAUAGCCCGGCGAAAGCCGGAUUAAUACCGCAUACGACCUGAGGGUGAAAGCGGGGGACCGAAAGGCCUCGCGCUAUUGGAGCGGCCGAUGUCGGAUUAGCUAGUUGGUGGGGUAAAGGCUUACCAAGGCGACGAUCCGUAGCUGGUCUGAGAGGACGACCAGCCACACUGGGACUGAGACACGGCCCAGACUCCUACGGGAGGCAGCAGUGGGGAAUUUUGGACAAUGGGGGCAACCCUGAUCCAGCCAUGCCGCGUGCGGGAAGAAGGCCUUCGGGUUGUAAACCGCUUUUGUUCGGGAAGAAAUCCUCUGGGCUAAUACCCCGGGGGGAUGACGGUACCGGAAGAAUAAGCACCGGCUAACUACGUG